AUGCCCCACCUGUGUCAUCCCCUUUUCCCUCUGUUUUUCUUUUUGUUUAUUUCAUUUUUCCAGCAUAUUCCAUUUCAGGCAGAGAGCAUCUAUCCUUUUCAGGAAACUCUAGUUUUGGACAUUCUAUUUAUGGAAAUUUGCCAUUUCGGUCUAAUUCCAUAUUAGGCAGGUUCUAACUUAAUGCAUUUGUGGUUAUUUUUCUACUGCAACAUAGACAUAUUAUAUAUGUCUUUGGGGUAGAAAAAUCCCACCAAUCUAGUGGUUGCAUUAGUUUCAUCAUUUGAGCAAGUUUGCACACAUGUCAUUUUACAUCACGUUGUUGUUUUGGCAUUUAUGGAUAAUUAUGCAAAUAUGACAUGUGAUAACUUUGUACAUGAACAUGCUCCUUUACAUGCCAUAUUAUUGCUAGAAUUUGUUUCAUGCUAUGAAAUGCAUUGUAUUGAGUGCAAGAAGCUUGCAAACAUGCCUACUCAAAUCUGUUUCUUCCAUGUCAUGCUUAUUUUGCUAAGUCUGAAACUGUGAGCACAACUUGUCAUUUCGCAUUUAUGCUAUCAUCAUAUCUAUAUAUAUCCUUGGAGCAUGGUCAGUGAGGAAGGACCCCACAUGUCAUACUCUCACAGGGGACCAUGCCCCACCUGUGUCAUCCCCUUUUCCCUCUGUUUUUCUUUUUGUUUAUUUCAUUUUUCCAGCAUAUUCCAUUUCAGGAAGAGAGCAUCUAUCCUUUUCAGGCAAGUCCGGUUCUGGACAUUCCAUUUAUGGAAAUUUGCCUUUUCUCUUUAAUUCCAUAUUAGGCAGGUUCUAACUUAAUGCAUUUGUGGUUAUUUUUCUACUGCAACAUAGUCAUAUUAUAUAUAUUUUGGGGGUAGAAAAAUCCCACCAAUCGAGUGGUUACAUUAGUUUCAACAUUUGAGCAAGUUUGCACACAUGUCAUUUUACAUCACAUUGCUGUUUUGGCAUUUAUGUGGAUAAUUAUGCAAAUAUGAUAUGUGAUAACUUUGUACAUGAACAUGCUCCUUUACAUGCCAUAUUAUUGCUAGAAUUUGUUUCAUGCUAUGAACUGCAUUGUAUUGAGUGCAACAAGCUUGCAAACAUGCCUACUCAAAUCAGUUUCUGUCAUGUCAUGCUUAUUUUGCUAAGUCUGAAACUGUCAGCACAACUUGUCAUUUCGCAUUGAUGCUACCAUCAUAUAUGGAUAUCCUUGGAGCAUGGUCAGUGAGGAAGGGCCCCACAUGUCAUACUCUCACAGGGGACCAUGCCCCACCUGUGUCAUCCCUUUUCCCUCUGUUUUUCUUUUUGUUUACUUCAUUUUUCCAGCAUAUUCCAUUUUAGGCAGAGAGCAUCUAUCCUUUUCAGGCAAGUCCAGUUCUGGACAUUCCAUUUAUGGAAAUUUGCCAUUUCUGUUUAAUUCCAUAUUAGGCAGGUUCUAACUUAAUGCAUUUGUGGUUAUUUUUCUACUGCAACAUAGACACAUUAUAUAUGUUUUUGGGGUAAAAAAUCCCACCAAUCCAAUGGUUGCAUUAGUUUCAUCAUUUGAGCAAGUUUGCACACAUGUCAUUUUACAUCACAUUAUUGUUUUGGCAUUUAUGUGGAUAAUUAUCCAAAUAUGACAUGUGAUAACUUUGUACAUGAAGAUGCUCCUUUACAUGCCAUAUUAUUGCUAGAAUUUGUUUCAUGCUAUGAAACGCAUUGUAUUGAGUGCAACAAGCUUGAAAACAUGCCUACUCAAAUCAGUUUCUGCCAUGUCAUGCUUAUUUUGCUAAGUGUGAAACUGUCAGCACAACCUGUCAUUUUGCAUUGAUGCUAUCAUCAUAUCUGUAUAUCCUUGGAGCAUGGUCAGUGAGGAAGGGCCCCACAUGUCAUACUCUCACAGGGGACCAUGCCCCACCUGUGUCAUCCCCUUUUCCUUCUGUUUUUCUUUUUGUUUAUUUCAUUUUUCUAGCAUAUUCCAUUUCAGGGAGAGCAUCUAUCCUUUUCAGGCAAGUCCGGUUCUCGACAUUCCAUUUAUGGAAAUUUGCCAUUUCUGUUUAAUUCCAUAUUAGGCAGGUUCUAACUUAAUGCAUUUGUGGUUAUUUUUCUACUGCAACAUAGACAUAUUAUAUAUGUUUUUGGGGUAGAAAAAUCCCACCAAUCCAGUGGUUGCAUUAGUUUCAUAGUUUGAGCAAGUUUGCACACAUGUUAUUUUACAUCACAUUGCUGUUUUGGCAUUUAUGUGGAUAAUUAUGCAAAUAUGAGAUGUGAUAACUUUGUACUUGAACAUGCUCCUUUACAUGCCAUAUUAUUGCUAGAAUUUGUUUCAAGCUAUGAAAUGCAUUGUAUUGAGUGCAACAAGCUUGCAAACAUGCCUACUCAAAUCAGUUUCUGCCAUGUCAUGCUUAUUUUGCUAAGUCUAAAACUGUGAGCACAACUUGUCAUUUCGGAUUGAUGCUAUCGUCAUAUCUGUAUAUCCUUGGAGCAUGGUCAGUGAGGUAGGGCCCCACAUGUCAUACUCUCACAGGGGACCAUGCCCCACCUGUGUCAUCCCCUUUUCCCUUUGUUUUUCUUUUCGUUUAUUUCAUUUUUCCAGCAUAUUCCAUUUCAGGCAGAGAGCAUCUAUCCUUUUCAGGCAACUCCAGUUCUGGACAUUCCAUUUUUGGAAAAUUGCCAUUUCGGUUUAAUUCCAUAUUAGGCAGGUUCUAACUUAAUGCAUUUGUGGUUAUUUUUCUACUGCAACAUACACAUAUUAUAUAUGUUUUUGGGGUAGAAAAAUCCCACCAACUAGUGGUUGCAUUAAUUUCAUCAUUUGAGCAAGUUUGCACACAUGUCAUUUUACAUCACAUUGCUGUUUGUGCAUUUAUGUGGAUAAUUAUGCAAAUAUGAUAUGUGAUAACUUUGUACAUGAACAUGCUCCUCUACAUGCCAUAUUAUUGCUAGAAUUUGUUUCAUGCUAUGAAAUGCAUUGUAUUGAGGGCAAGAAGCUUGCAAACAUGCCUACUGAAAUCUGUUUCUGCCAUGUCAUGCUUAUUUUGCUAAGUCUGAAACUGUUAGCACAACUUGUCAUUUCGCAUUGAUGCUAUCAUCAUAUCUGUUUAUCCUUGCAGCAUGGUCAGUGAGGAAGGGCCCCUCUCACAGGGGACCAUGCCCCACCUGUGUCAUCCCCUUUUCCCUCUGUUUUUCUUUUUGUUUAUUUCAUUUUUCCAGCAUAUUCCAUUUCAGGCAGAGAGCAUCUAUCCUUUUCAGGCAACUCUAGUUCUGGACAUUCCAUUUAUGGAAAUUUGCCAUUUCGGUUAAAUUCCAUAUUAGGCAGGUUCUAACUUAAUGCAUUUGUGGUUAUUUUUCUACUGCAACAUAGACAUAUUAUAUAUGUCUUUGGGGUAGAAAAAUCCCACCAAUCUAGUGGUUGCAUUAGUUUCAUCAUUUGAGCAAGUUUGCACACAUGUCAUUUUACAUCACAUUGUUGUUUUGGCAUUUAUGGAUAAUUAUGCAAAUAUGACAUGUGAUAACUUUGUACAUGAACAUGCUCCUUUACAUGCCAUAUUAUUGCUAGAAUUUGUUUUAUGCUAUGAAAUGCAUUGUAUUGAGUGCAAGAAGCUUGCAAACAUGCCUACUCAAAUCUGUUUCUUCCAUGUCAUGCUUAUUUUGCUAAGUCUGAAACUGUCAGCAC
rnacentral:lncRNA from 1 species